UACAGAGGGUGCGAGCGUUAAUCGGAAUUACUGGGCGUAAAGCGCACGUAGGCGGCUUGGUAUGUCGGGUGUGAAAUCCCCGGGCUCAACCUGGGAACCGCGCUUGAGACUGGCACGCUCGAGUUCGGGAGAGGAUGGUGGAAUUCCCAGUGUAGAGGUGAAAUUCGUAGAUAUUGGGAAGAACACCAGUGGCGAAGGCGGCUCACUGGCCCGAUACUGACGCUGAGGCACGAAAGCGUGGGGAGCAAACAGG
rnacentral:rRNA from 1 species